rnacentral:sRNA from 1 species
GUCGUGAGAUGUUGGGUUAAGUCCCGCAACGAGCGCAACCCCCGUCUCUAGUUACCAGCGGGUAAAGCCGGGCACUCUAGAGAGACUGCCGGUGCCAAACCGGAGGAAGGUGGGGACGACGUCAAGUCAUCAUGGUCCUUACGUCCAGGGCUACACACGUGCUACAAUGGGCGGGACAAAGGGUUGCAAAGUCGCAAGGCGGAGCCAAUCCCGUAAACCCGUCCUCAGUUCGGAUUGUCCUCUGCAACCCGAGGGCAUGAAGCUGGAAUCGCUAGUAAUCGUGGAUCAGCUACGCCACGGUGAAUACGUUCCCGGGCCUUGUACACACCGCCCGUCACGCCAUGGAAGCUGUGAGCGCCCGAAGUCCGUGCAGCAACCCGCAAGGGAGCAAGCGGCCGAAGGCGAGCGCAGUGACUGGGGCGAAGUCGUAACAAGGUAGCCGUAGGGGAACCUGCGGCUGGAUCACCUCCUUAACGGAGCUGCGAGUAGACCACCGGCCGACGCAAGUCGACCCACUAAUCGAAAGCACUCAUGUAGUCGCUCGUCUCCACACCUGAUCUCAAUCUUGAUUUUCUCAUGACGCUGCGCGCGUGGCGAGCUUCUGCCGCGCGCGUAGCCGUUUUUGAUCUUCGUAUUCGCUGUUUGACAACGGAUGGAAGUAGUGAUCGUGGGAUUAGCCCACGCGUACGGCGCUUUCUCGACUUCACCUCGGUGGAAUCGGUGAGAGAGUCAUCACGCGUGCGGCGAUCGAUGAAUCAACACACGUGACACAGUUUCGCGAUCGAUGGCCGGCCUCUGGUCGUGCCAGCGAUCGAAACAGUUCACUCGUUGAAGUACGGUGCCCGGACCACGGACACCGCACUAGUAGAUCGCGCGUGCUCUGCUUGACGGUUUUUUGUAGUCAAGCGAGCGAGGGCAUGUGGGGGAUGCCUGGGCACACGGAGGCGAAGAAGGCCGCGGUAAGCUGCGAAAAGCUUGGGGGAGCCGCACACAGGCGAUGAGCCCGAGAUGG